UUCUCUUUGGGAGGAAAGGGCCAGGCAUUCGCGGCUAGCGGCCUCUGCGGGUGUCCGGUGGGACGUGAAACACCUUGUCAAUGAAAUCCCAGCCUCUCCGUCUGCUCCCCACCCCGGCCGAUGGCCCUCCCCGGAGUAGGGCGGGGAGCAGCUCCCCACCUCCUCCAACGCGGUGCACUGGGUCCCCAGGACUCUGCCCAAGGGGCCCGGUUGCCUGGCCGGCCCCAGCCGCGGCUCCUGGACGAACCUGCCCUGCAGGCCCUCUUCCCCAUGGACGCAACCCCAAAUCUCUUCUUGCAGCUGAGUGGAGCCCGGAUCUGCGGUUUGAACCAGGAGAGGCCCCCGUUAUUUGGCCCAGGAAGUGAAAAAGCCCCCUACACGAUGGGUGAGACGUUCUCCCAGCUGGGCUCUCAGGAGGACGAAAACAGGUCGAUCCUACCCCGUGAUUCAGCCAGCCAUGGUAGCAGCGAGUAUUUUUCUUCCUGUGCCCCUUGUGAAAGGGCUGCUAAUACCAGCUUUGUGACUUGUCCCACCUGCCAGGGCAAUAAGGAGAUCCCUCGAGAACUAGAGAAGCAGCUGGUGGCCCUCAUCCCCUAUGGGGACCAGAGGCUGAAGCCCAGGCACACGGAGCUCUUCGUGUUCCUGGCAGUGCUCAUCUGCCUGGUGACCUCCUCCCUCACCAUCUUUUUCCUGUUUCCCCGGUCCAUCGACACGCAGCCUGCGGGCCUCAACUCCUCCUCCACUGUGGCCUUGGACGAGACUGUCUACAUCAACAUAACGAAUAUCUUGAACAUCUCCAAUAGCAACUACUACCCCAUCACUGUGACCCAGCUAACCAUUGAGGUGCUGCACCUGUCCGUCGUGGUGGGGCAGGUCUCAAAUAGCCUCCUCCUCCACAUCGGCCCUUUGGCUAGUAAACAGAUUUUUUAUGCAGUAGCCAACAGGAUCUUGGAUGAAAACACAUACAAAAUCUGUAGCUGGCUGAAAAUCAAAGUCCACCAUGUGCUUUUGCACAUCCAGUAAGUAGGGCUUGGACUUCUCCCACUUCUGACUCCAGUCUCUCCUCAGCCUCACCUUGUGAGAGGAGUUACCAAGGGGCACCGUGACCUAUAUCUGCUUGAGCCACUCAGAGCAGAAAGUCUUCCAGAGCUAUGAGUACGUGGACUGCCGGGAAAACACAUCAGGGCCUCACUUGCUGGUCCCUCACCUGCCGUGACCUGUCUGCUGUCCCCAAACUCUAGGCAUCUGCCAGCCUGGUCUGUAUCUCUCACAGCUCCGUAGGGCCCAAGGAUGGACUGUGGUGACUUGGCCAAAGGAAAAGCCCUGCUUUAUCAUACCCUCCCACCCCACCCACACACAGAAGCGCUCCGAUCCCCACAGGCACGGAAGCCGGGUUCUCCUCGGGGCUGCCACCAGGUCCUCCCCUGGGUCUGGCUUGAGGGAAGUCUGAUGUGAUGUUUCCUUGGAGUUAGAGUCCCAGGAGUGGCCCCUGCCCUUUCUGUUCUGAGCACUUUAGUUGCCCAGCUCCUCAGGUCUGGCCUUCCUCCUGCCUGAAUGUGAGAAAGUGUUGUAUCCAGCGUUAAAGACAUGCAUCUUUUCGUGUUCUCCACCGAGUGGUGGGAAAGCAACUUGGGGGGCAUGCAGGGCGGUCUCCAGGGUCUUUUGCAGAACACAGAUGCUCUCCUGUGCCUCCCUGUUUGGGUUGUGUGACAAAGUGAUGGUGAUGAUCGACUUUGCUCCUGGGAACUUGUCCCCUGCCCGUCUGACAGCUGGGUUGGCCGAGGCUCUGCAUCCUUCCUGGUUACAGACUGUCCUGGUUCCUAGGAAGACAGCUCCAGCUUCUCCCCCGUGAAACAGUUUAUUAUUCUCUUCAGAGCAGGAGCAACUUAAAGUAGCAGGGGAGGGGAGGGAGGCACCUGGCACCCAUUGGGGGUAGCGGGGGCGGGGGGAGACAGACAAAGCCAAGAUCAUUUUAACAGAUGUUUAUUUAUUGAAGGAGAGCUCCUGGCGCGUGGUGAGCCCAUAACCCUGAGCCUGGGCGAGGAGACACAGGCAGGCCAGGCUGCUGGGCUCUGCCACUCCAGGCCCACCUCCCAGAGGCCUCUGCUUUCCUUUGGGCAUUGACGGUAGAGACAGCACAUCAGUAGGGACUGGUCUUUGCUGUCACUCAGAUGAAGCUAAGUCCUCCAGGUCCCCCUGGGCUCCAUGUGGAGGCGGUUUCCUUCUUUAGUGAGCAGAAAUGGUGUUUGCUCACUAAAGGUGACUAUGGUUUUUAUCAGGUGGGCAGAGAGAUGAGCUUGGGUGGUGGGGAAGCUGAACCUGAAGGAGGAUGGGUGGAGAGGGGGACUGGUGACAGAACCUGGUGCCUGGUGGGCUGGGGGAACAAGAGGGAGGAAGGAGGUUGUGCUGUCUCCACAUUUUCAUGUCUGGGUAACGGGUCAAAGUGGUGCUGGCAAGAGUGGGGGAGUCCAGGAAGGCCAGGCUAGAGCUUCUCCUGUGUGUAGGUUGCCAAAUGUGAAGAAUUUAUAUUGUAGUCAAUAAACUAUACUUAAUGUUUAAAGAAGUCUCCUGUGAGCGGGAAGGGAGCUGGUGGACAUGCCCCAUCUCAGCCUGGUGUUGAUGUCCCAGGAGUGCCAAGGUGUCUUCCCCAGGCCCCGAGCCCCUGACAACAUGUCCUGCCUCUGGCUUCUGAGAGAUGGCUCGCUCCCUUUCUCACCGUGUAUCUCUAAGGCCCCUUCCAACUUUAGUCCUAGUCUGUGUCCCCCCUACACCCCCCCUCAAGCUGCUCCCCUCAAGAAACACUGCACUGAGGGGCUCCAGUCUGACAAAGGCGAUGCUGUGUGGGCCACCACAAGACCCAGGCAUCCCCCUCCCUGGUCCCGGGGGGAGGGGGCCGGGCUGGAGGACCCUGGUGUCAGCUUGAGGAAGUGGUCAGGGGGACUCCUGGGCCUUUGGGGCCUCUUGACUGUCUCUGCUCAUUGGAAAGGCUGACACCCAGGAAGGAAGAGGCUAAUCCCUCUCCCCUUCCAGGGCCCGGUGUCCUGUACCUGAGGCUAUAGCUCUCCUUCACUCUGAGCUCUGUCUCUCUAUUCCUGCUUCUCAUCAACCAUUCAACAGCUGGGUGCCCACUGUGGGCCAGGAAUUACACUGGACUGGGGCGGUCCUUCCCUGUCUGCCACCUCUUCCCACUGCUGCCCCAGGCCUGCUUGGUGGGCGCCAGUCCCUCCUUCCCCAGCUGUAUCUCAGUAAGCAUCAGCUAGGAGGAAGGGGGUGAUGGCUCCUGUGAGAGUCAUAAACCUGAAGCCCCAACAGAACUAUCAUUGCUAAAGAAAAGGGCCAGCCCGGCCAGUG